AUUGAUGUCAAAUAGGGUAAUAUUUGUUAUCAAUUUGUUUCUUUCUGGAUUUAUUUUAAAGUUGAUUUAAUAAAAAUGUACAUAUAUAAUGCUACGAAAUUAUCUUUAGUGACUGGACAUAUAUAAAAAUAUGCAAGCUUAUUUACAAACCUCAAUUAUUAUCACAUUAAUGUAUUGUGUCUGAUUGUGUUAAUCACAAUGUAUUAUCAAUAUACACUGUGACGUAACAACUGUCAUACAAGUUCGAGACAUAGCUAACAAUAAAACCAGAUUAA
rnacentral:lncRNA from 1 species